CCCUUAGAUGUUCUGGGCCGCACGCGUGCUACACUGAGUGGAUCAGCGGGUCAGGUUGCGCGAAAGUGUUUCCUAAUCUUGAAAUCCGCUCGUGAUGGGGAUUGGCGGUUGCAAUUUUCCGUCAUGAACGAGGAAUACCUUGUAAGCGCGGGUCAUCAUCCCGCGCUGAAUACGUCCCUGCCCUUUGUACACACCGCCCGUCGCUCCUACCGAUUGAGUGGUCCGGUGAGGCUUUGGGAUCUGAGCAAAGAGAGCGUUUCGCUCGUUUUGCCCGGAAAACUCAGUCGAACCUUAUCAUUUAGAGGAAGGAGAAGUCGUAACA
rnacentral:rRNA from 1 species